rnacentral:rRNA from 1 species
UUUCCGGUUGAUCCUGCCGCCGGACACCGCUAUUGGAAUCCGCUUAAGCCAUGCGAGUCGAGAGGGUUUAGACCCUCGGCGCACUGCUCAGUAACACGCGGACAACCUGUCCUCAAGAAGGGGAUAAUCCCGGGAAACUGGGAAUAAUACCCUAUAGCCGCUCUGUGAUGGAAGGCUAGGGCGGCGAAAGCUUCGGCGCUUGAGGGUGGGUCUGCGGCCUAUCAGGUAGUAGGGGGUGUUACGGACCCCCUAGCCUACGACGGGUACGGGCAUUGGGAGAUGCCGCCCGGAGAUGGGUUCUGAGACACGAACCCAGGUCCUACGGGGCGCAGCAGGCGCGAACACUGUGCAAUGCGCGAAAGCGCGACACGGGGAGCUUGAGUGUCUUGGCAUAGCCAAGACUUUUCUCAUUCCUAAAAAGCAUGAGGAAUAAGUGCUGGGUAAGACGGGUGCCAGCCGCCGCGGUAACACCCGCAGCACAAGUGGUGGUCACUUUUAUUGAGCCUAAAGCGUUCGUAGCCGGUUUUGUGAAUCUUUAGAUAAAGCCUGAAGCUUAACUCCAGAAAGUCUGAAGAGACUGCAAGACUUGAGAUCGGGUGAGGUUAAACGUACUUUCAGGGUAGGGGUAAAAUCCUGUAAUCCUGGGGGGACCACCAGUGGCGAAGGCGUUCACCUAGAACGAAUCCGACAGUGAGGGACGAAGCCCUAGGGCGCAAACGGGAUUAGAUACCCCGGUAGUCUAGGGUGUAAACGCUGCAGACUUGGUGUUGGGGGUCCUGCGUGGGCUCCCAGUGCCGGAGCGAAGGUGUUAAGUGUGCCGCUUGGGGAGUAUGGUCGCAAGGCUGAAACUUAAAGGAAUUGGCGGGAGAGCACCGCAACGGGAGGAAUGUGCGGUUUAAUUGGAGUCAACGCCGGG